UCUAGUAAAUGCGUAAAUUUGGUAAGUUCAACCCUUUUUUCUUCAUAACAGAAAAUUAUAUCGCAUUCAACAUCACUAGUGUAAGUUUUUCGCUUUUUUUAUAUACGAAUCUUUAUUUUUUCAGUCUUCCUAUCUUUUCAAGAAACCAAUCCGUUCAAAAUCACACUGUAAAAUGUAUUUCUUAACUAUCAGUGUGUGCAAAUGUCUAUGUGCUAUAGUGGAACAAUGUUGAAUAGUCGCGAACUUGUGUUUAUGAAGCCAGUAGACCUUUAAUAACAAUUCAGACUUUCUCUAUCUCAAAUAUUUUUUUUAGUCAACUAAAAUUGCGUAUUAGGAGCGCCACUACUAUCAUGAACUUCAGUCCAAAUAUUAAACUAAACUUACAACAU